UCUUUCCUUUCCUGGAGUCAGAAGUCCAGAAAACAACAAAUGAAUGACUCUUUCUAUGAGGAGUUAAAUGCUUGCAGAUCACAGAGUUCAAAGGAUGUGUCACGUAAAUGCUUCGGGGACAACCUACAUUCCUCAUCAGCAUGUAUGAAGGACUGGAUCAUCUUUAAUGAACAGAACCUCCCAAGGUUCUCUGCAACUGGAAAGAGGAAAGGAAGAAUAAACUGCACUUCCUGAUUUUGCAGAGAGGUCACCGAGACACCAAGGGCCUAUCACCAACAGUAUUACUGCAUAACAUGGGAGGAACAGAGCUAGAUCCAGAACAGCAUAAAGAUAU